UGGAGACAGGUGGUGCAUGGUUGUCGUCAGCUCGUGUCGUGAGAUGUUGGGUUAAGUCCCGCAACGAGCGCAACCCUUAUUCUUAGUAGCCAGCAGGUAAAGCUGGGCACUCUAGGGAGACUGCCAGGGAUAACCUGGAGGAAGGUGGGGAUGACGUCAAAUCAUCAUGCCCCUUAUGAUUUGGGCUACACACGUGCUACAAUGGCGUAAACAAAGGGAGGCGAAGCCGCGAGGUAGAGCGAACCCCAAAAAUAACGUCUCAGUUCGGAUUGCAGGCUGCAACUCGCCUGCAUGAAGCCGGAAUCGCUAGUAAUCGCAGAUCAGCAUGCUGCGGUGAAUACGUUCCCGGGUCUUGUACACACCGCCCGUCACACCAUGGGAGUCGAUAACGCCCGAAGUCAGUGACCCAACCGUAAGGAGGGAGCUGCCGAAGGCGGGAUUGAUAACUGGGGUGAAGUCGUAACAAGGUAGCCGUAUCGGAAGGUGCGGUUGGAUCACCUC
rnacentral:rRNA from 1 species